CCCACGAACCCCUUGCCAUCCACAGUAAUCUUGGUGUUCGCCUGAAUCCCCAUAAAUGCUUAAACAAAACUACCCAACGGCCGGUCGUUCGGUAGUUCCAGCACAAACUUACGAGCUCCUGGAGGUCUCAGCGGUGUUCGCCUGUUUGCGUAUCCGUUUUUAGUUCCAUGCGUUCACAGGCAAACACCGCCGUUCGUGCGUAAGAUGGCCGCGAACACGUGUAAAGUCCCGAAAUGGCGGCCAUCUAACCUGAGCA